rnacentral:rRNA from 1 species
GCAUAUCAAUAAGCGGAGGAAAAGAAACCAACAGGGAUUGCCCUAGUAACGGCGAGUGAAGCGGCAACAGCUCAAAUUUGAAAUCUGGCUCUCGGGCCCGAGUUGUAAUUUGUAGAGGAUGCUUUUGAUGCGGUGCCUUCCGAGUUCCCUGGAACGGGACGCCAUAGAGGGUGAGAGCCCCGUCUGGUUGGAUGCCAAAUCUCUGUAAAGCUCCUUCGACGAGUCGAGUAGUUUGGGAAUGCUGCUCUAAAUGGGAGGUAUAUGUCUUCUAAAGCUAAAUACCGGCCAGAGACCGAUAGCGCACAAGUAGAGUGAUCGAAAGAUGAAAAGCACUUUGAAAAGAGAGUUAAAAAGUACGUGAAAUUGUUGAAAGGGAAGCGUUUAUGACCAGACUUGGGCUUGGAUAAUCAUCUGGGGUUCUCUCCAGUGCACUUUUCCAGUCCAGGCCAGCAUCAGUUUUCGCCGGGGGAUAAAGGCUUCGGGAAUGUGGCUCUCUCCGGGGAGUGUUAUAGCCCGUUGCGUAAUACCCUGGCGGGGACUGAGGUUCGCGCAUCUGCAAGGAUGCUGGCGUAAUGGUCAUCAACGACCCGUCUUGAAACACGGACCAAGGAGUCGUCUUCGUAUGCGAGUGUUCGGGUGUCAAACCCCUACGCGUAAUGAAAGUGAACGCAGGUGAGAGCUUCGGCGCAUCAUCGACCGAUCCUGAUGUUCUCGGAUGGAUUUGAGUAAGAGCAUACGGGGCCGGACCCGAAAGAAGGUGAACUAUGCCUGUGUAGGGUGAAGCCAGAGGAAACUCUGGUGGAGGCUCGCAGCGGUUCUGACGUGCAAAUCGAUCGUCAAACAUGGGCAUGGGGGCGAAAGACUAAUCGAACCUUCUAGUAGCUGGUUUCCGCC